rnacentral:sRNA from 1 species
GGCUAAUAUAUUUCUAGAGGCAGAGACCUUGGGAUACGCAGUAAAUCAAAAGCGGGUCACUUAUAGAAAGCUGGAAUCACGACGAUUUUAGGACAUAAAUGCAAAUUGCGCCGUAAAUUGCGACUUUCUAAAACACGUACGGAACUGUUGCCCCAGAUCGUCCGUCCGAUUUUUUUUUCAGACUGGUAACUGAAGACCUGCAGCUAGGUUAUCUUUAGAUCAUGAUGUGCAAAUUUAACAUGUCCAUCCAUAACCACAUGGUUGUGACACGAUAACUUACUUUGAACAUGGUGUCCGGUAUGCAGAAAACAAAAAUGAUCGAUAAGAACCCAGUCUCCGAAUACACAACUAUACCGAUCCUUUCCGGAAGGCGUCCACAAGCUGGUAUUGCAAUUCACCAUUGAAUGCCUUGCCAAUCUUUUCCUUUGGUUUACUAUUAUAUUUGCAUCCGCCAAUUAUGAUUCCCUCCAUUUCCAAUGGAUAUUGAUAAUAAUUCAUAGCUCUUUCGACACAGACAAAUCUGAAAUAUACACACCCCGUUUAUCGAUUGGUCGUAACCUUCAACAACCUAAAAAAAAAUCACGGGCUGCACGAAAUAAUCAUGAUGUCUAAUUCCCUUAGAAUACGAUUUGGCUGUCAGUGUUUGGGACUUAAAAUCACUUCGACAUAUCCCCUGUAUUCGAGAUAUCAGUGUUCGAGAUAUCGAAGUUCAACUGUAUUUUAUUAACUUUUUAAAGAAAGAUGUAGAUGUGACUGCACGAAAACAUCAAAAUGUCAUCUUAUAUGUGAUUUUUUCCUCAGUGUCGCUCCCUUCACAUCUCCUAUAAACCGCAAGAGAAAGCAUUUUCUUUUUCUAAAUAGCUAUUUUUGUUUGGUAUAUCAAAGCUAUAUAUGCUUUUUGGAGGUUUUGACACGUAUAUACUAGUGUUUAAAUCAACCUAUUCCAAGUAUUUAACAUAAUAUAGAUAAAAAUUGUUUUCAGUAACUUAAAAAACAUCAUCCGAUAUGCUGAUAUUCUGAUUUUAUAGUACCUCAUUCAUUCUCAUAUAGGCAUUUUACACGCCUUGUUCGCCUAUCUUCUUAUACGAAAACAUGCGAUAAACUAAAAAUACAUGUAUAAAUAAGAGUGGACAAGGCGUUUUUAAGAGAUGCCUCACAGGCACCUUACGUUAUUUUUGGUCGUCAUAAAAAAAAAAUACCCUUUACCUGAUAAUACACUUGUGUAUUAUUAGAUAUCUGGUAUUUGUUUUUAUUGUGAACAAAAUUUAUAACGUAAGGUGCCUACGGACGGAUAAUACACUGUUAAAUAAAUAUAUCAACAAGCCUGACAAUUCUAUUAACAAUUCGUUUUAAACAAUGUUUACUUAACGUAACUUCGAUUUGUAACCCUCAUAUAUGUUCACUACUUGGAAUAUCAAAACCUCCAAAUAGUGCUGCUGCCGCUCCGUAGGAGACUCCACAGCGUGCACAUCUUAGUUUUACAUUUUUUAAGGAAUAAGAAAUUAUUCUCUAUAUUAAGUAUUAUGAGGUGAUAAUUUCGGCCGGGGCGUGGUCAAAUCCAAUAAAGCCCGAAGGGCUUUAUGAUAGAUUUGACCACGCUCCGACCGAAAUUAUUACUUCAUAAUAUUCAAAGAAUGAUUCCUUAUUACUUAUAUUUAUAUUAUUUCCAAUUUGUACACUUUAAAAAAAAUUUUAAACCACCAUUUUUUAUGUAGCGCAUGCCUUGUAUUACUACGCGGCGCAAAAUGCCUAUUUUGUGUCACUCAUGUUCUAUGAAGUUAUUGGGUUUUAGGGCUCAAUAUUGAUUCGUUAUGGUAUCAAAGACACAGACAGUUGAAAUUAAAUGUAAAUAUCUAAUUAUAAGGACGCAGCCAUGAGGACGUGGCCCCGGUGUGACAUGGGUUUAACCAUUCAAUUUUUUUUUUAUAGUUUGGGAGAUUUCUCCGUUUUGUGGCGGGUUUUUUUACAAUCAGAAAAUCAUCUUUUAUCUUAUUCUAUCACACUUCAUGCAAUGCUAACAGAGUAGAACAAAACCAGUUUAAGCCUCAGCUCUUGAUUUGCAAGUCACGAGUUCUAAACAUCUUAAUAAUCUGACCUUUUGGAAACUUUUCAUAAAAUGCAUUUAUUGUCAAACAUUUCAAAAUGUACGAUUUGAAAUAUCGAAACUGUAAUUUUAUUUUGAUUAUGAUGUUUAUAUCUUAUCACUUCAAAGAUAAAAUUGAAUAAAAUAAUAUUUUUGGAG